UACGUAGGUGGCAAGCGUUGUCCGGAUUUACUGGGUGUAAAGGGCGUGCAGCCGGAGAGACAAGUCAGAUGUGAAAUCCACGGGCUCAACCCGUGAACUGCAUUUGAAACUGUUUCCCUUGAGUGUCGGAGAGGUAAUCGGAAUUCCUUGUGUAGCGGUGAAAUGCGUAGAUAUAAGGAAGAACACCAGUGGCGAAGGCGGAUUACUGGACGAUAACUGACGGUGAGGCGCGAAAGCGUGAGGAGCAAACAGG
rnacentral:rRNA from 1 species